GGAUUUUUUUUUUUUUUUUUUGUUAAAUCGUUUCUGUUUUUCUUUUCACCGGCAAAGGAAUAUGGAGGAACAUACUGAUCAGUUUUUCAAUCUGAUUCCUAAGCAAGAAGAAUGGAGUGGUAGCCAAAAGUUAUCAGAGGACAAAAAACUGGAGCUGAGACUUGGUCCCCCAGGAGACUUCCUUAGCAUCAAGAACAUUACCAACGCUAAUGGAAUCAAAAGAUUUCUUGAUGCAGACAGAUCUGAAGCAAAGACAGGAGAUAGAAACUGGUUCAUCAAUACUUACGAAAAGCAAUGCAAAAAGCUCUUAGGUUAUGAAGGAUCUGAUGAAAAGGUAUUCUCUUCUCCAUGGUUACCAUCAAGCGGCUCUUUACAUUCAUCAACUUUCCAAAGGGAGACCCAGAGAGAGAUAAUACAACCCAAGCCUUCAUAUCUUCGGUGCUCUACCGCGGUAGAGUUACAGUGCCCAGAUAAGAAGCUAAGUUCUGGUCCUGCUAGUGCUUCAUUUCCUCCUACCACAGCUGGGACCCCUAGCCCUCAUAAAAGAGUUGCACCUGCACCGGUCGUUGGGUGGCCUCCAGUUCGGUCUUUCAGGAAAAAUCUUGCUAGUAGCAGCAACUCAAAGCAGGCGGAUGCUAAUUUACCAAAUAAAACUCCAACUGAAGGCUGCACUAUGAAGCCUGGAAGUUUCAGGAAUGAUUUAUUUGUAAAGAUCAACAUGGAAGGAGUCCCUAUUGGAAGAAAAAUAAACCUCAAUGCCUACGACAGUUAUGAGAAACUAUCCGUUGCCAUUGAUGAGCUAUUCAGAGGUCUGCUUGCAGCUCAAAAGGAAAAUUCUACUGCUAUGAUUGAUGAAGCAAAAGCAAAUUCAGGUUUAUCAGGAUCUGGAAGUGGGGAAUAUACUCUAGUUUAUGAGGACAAUGAAGGAGACAGGAUACUUGUUGGGGAUGUCCCUUGGCACAUGUUUGUAUCUACAGCAAAGAGGCUGCGCGUGCUGAAAAGCUCUGAACUAUCGACACCACAACUUUCAGUUGGGAGCGGAGAGCAAGAAAAGACACCACUUAACUCGUUAGUGGAAAUUGGAAGAUGAUGAAGCUUUAAGUGGAGAAUAAAGUCAUUGCAUACAUCGUUUCCUUGGCCUACCUCAAUGUAAAAUGUGGCUUUUUUCAUUUUCUUGAUGCUGAAGAAGAAAAUG
rnacentral:misc_RNA from 1 species